rnacentral:rRNA from 1 species
UACGUAGGCAGCGAGCGUUGUUCGGAGUUACUGGGCGUAAAGGGUGUGUAGGCGGUUGUUUAAGUUUGGUGUGAAAUCUCCCGGCUCAACUGGGAGGGUGCGCCGAAUACUGAAUGACUUGGAGUGCGGGAGAGGUGAGUGGAAUUCCUGGUGUAGCGGUGAAAUUCGUAGAUAUUAGGAAGAACACCAGUGGCGAAGGCGGCUCACUGGUCCGGUACGUGGACGCUGAGGUGCGAAA